rnacentral:rRNA from 1 species
ACUGGGAUAACUCCGGGAAACCGGAGCUAAUACCGGAUAGUUCCUUGAACCGCAUGGUUCAAGGAUGAAAGACGGUUUCGGCUGUCACUUACAGAUGGACCCGCGGCGCAUUAGCUAGUUGGUGAGGUAACGGCUCACCAAGGCGACGAUGCGUAGCCGACCUGAGAGGGUGAUCGGCCACACUGGGACUGAGACACGGCCCAGACUCCUACGGGAGGCAGCAGUAGGGAAUCUUCCGCAAUGGACGAAAGUCUGACGGAGCAACGCCGCGUGAGUGAUGAAGGUUUUCGGAUCGUAAAGCUCUGUUGUUAGGGAAGAACAAGUGCAAGAGUAACUGCUUGCACCUUGACGGUACCUAACCAGAAAGCCACGGCUAACUACGUGCCAGCAGCCGCGGUAAUACGUAGGUGGCAAGCGUUGUCCGGAAUUAUUGGGCGUAAAGGGCUCGCAGGCGGUUUCUUAAGUCUGAUGUGAAAGCCCCCGGCUCAACCGGGGAGGGUCAUUGGAAACUGGGAAACUUGAGUGCAGAAGAGGAGAGUGGAAUUCCACGUGUAGCGGUGAAAUGCGUAGAGAUGUGGAGGAACACCAGUGGCGAAGGCG